AUGCAGUCGAACGAGAGAGAGGGAGCUUGCUUCCUCAAUCGAGUGGCGAACGGGUGAGUAACGCGUGAGGAACCUGCCUCAAAGAGGGGGACAACAGUUGGAAACGACUGCUAAUACCGCAUAAGCCCACGACCCGGCAUCGGGAAGAGGGAAAAGGAGCAAUCCGCUUUGAGAUGGCCUCGCGUCCGAUUAGCUAGUUGGUGAGGUAACGGCCCACCAAGGCGACGAUCGGUAGCCGGACUGAGAGGUUGAACGGCCACAUUGGGACUGAGACACGGCCCAGACUCCUACGGGAGGCAGCAGUGGGGAAUAUUGCACAAUGGGGGAAACCCUGAUGCAGCGACGCCGCGUGGAGGAAGAAGGUCUUCGGAUUGUAAACUCCUGUUGUUGAGGAAGAUAAUGACGGUACUCAACAAGGAAGUGACGGCUAACUACGUGCCAGCAGCCGCGGUAAAACGUAGGUCACAAGCGUUGUCCGGAAUUACUGGGCGUAAAGGGAGCGCAGGCGGGCGAUCAAGUUGGAAGUGAAAUCCAUGGGCUCAACCCAUGAACUGCUUUCAAAACUGGUCGUCUUGAGUAGUGCAGAGGUAGGCGGAAUUCCCGGUGUAGCGGUGGAAUGCGUAGAUAUCGGGAGGAACACCAGUGGCGAAGGCGGCCUACUGGGCACCAACUGACGCUGAGGCUCGAAAGUGUGGGUAGCAAACAGGAUUAGAUACCCUGGUAGUCCACACCGUAAACGAUGAUUACUAGGUGUUGGGAGAUUGACCCUCUCAGUGCCGCAGUUAACACAAUAAGUAAUCCACCUGGGGAGUACGACCGCAAGGUUGAAACUCAAAGGAAUUGACGGGGGCCCGCACAAGCAGUGGAGUAUGUGGUUU
rnacentral:rRNA from 1 species